UACGUAGGGUGCGAGCGUUGUCCGGAUUUAUUGGGCGUAAAGGGUGCGUAGGUGGUCGUUUAAGUCCGUUGUGAAAUCCCUGGGCUCAACCUGGGAAUGGCAGUGGAUACUGGACGGCUAGAAUGCGGUAGAGGGUAGUGGAAUUCCCGGUGUAGCAGUGAAAUGCGUAGAGAUCGGGAGGAACACCAGUGGCGAAGGCGGCUACCUGGACCAGCAUUGACACUCAAGCACGAAAGCGUGGGGAGCAAACAGG
rnacentral:rRNA from 1 species